CACGUAGGGGGCGAGCGUUGUCCGGAUUUAUUGGGCGUAAAGAGCUCGUAGGCGGCUCGGUAAGUGAGGUGUGAAAACUCCAGGCUCAACCUGGAGACGCCACCUCAUACUGCCGUGGCUAGAGUCCGGUAGGGGAGCAUGGAAUUCCUGGUGUAGCGGUGAAAUGCGCAGAUAUCAGGAAGAACACCCGUGGCUAAGGCGGUUCUCUAGUAUGGUACUGACGCUGAGACGCGAAAGCGUGGGGAGCGAACAGG
rnacentral:rRNA from 1 species